UACGGAAGGCAGCAGUGGGGAAUAUUGCACAAUGGGCGAAAGCCUGAUGCAGCUAUGCCGCGUGUAUGAAGAAGGCCUUAGGGUUGUAAAGUACUUUCAUCGGGGAGGAAAAACAAAACUAAUAAUUUUAUUUCUUGACGUUACCCGAAAAAGAAGCACCGGCUAACUCCGUGCCAGCAGCCGCGGUAAUACGGAGGGUGCUAGCGUUAAUCAGAAUUACUGGGCGUAAAGAGCACGUAGGUGGUUUUUUUAAGUCAGAUGUGAAAUCCCUGGGCUUAACCUAGGAACUGCAUUUUGAAACUGAAAUACUAGAGUAUCGUAGAGGGAGGUAGAAUUCUAGGUGUAGCGGUGAAAUGUGUAGAUAUCUGGAGGAAUACCUGUGGCGAAAGCGGCCUCCUAAACGAAUACUGACACUGAGGGUGCGAAAGCGUGGGGAGCAAACAGGGAUUAGAUACC
rnacentral:rRNA from 1 species